AAAUCUCAACCUUCUUGGUUUCUUUUGGACACCGAAGGAGGCUUGGACUUUGGAGGCCUUUGCUGGCACCUCUCUCUUUUGAAGGUCAGCUCCUCUUAAAUGAAUUAGCGGGGUCCUCUUUGCCAGUCCUCGACGUGUGAUAAGAUGUUUCCAUGUCUUGGCUUCUGGCUCUGUUGCUUUUGGGACCCGCUUCUAACUGUCUCAGCCUUGCAUAGAGACAAUGUUUGAGCGUGUCUCCCUUCUCGGGAAACACUCUUGACCCCACGAAC
rnacentral:misc_RNA from 1 species